rnacentral:lncRNA from 1 species
CCCACAGACGCGGACGCUGGGGCUCAGAGAGGUAGAGAGACUUGUCCACGGUGGAAAGGCAAACCCUGAGCCUCAUGACUUUGGCCUACACUUGACCUUGCCCAUGUGAAGAGAUGGAGGGCCACUAACUCCAGACUCUCCUGUUAGGCGGCUUCCUACAGAGACUACGGAAUUCUCAUACUCUUCUAAUGGAAUUUCCAAGUUUUUCAGCCAAUCUGGUCAAGCGUAGAAUGUGAGGUGUCCUUCCGGCCGAGGAAGACUGGACACAGCAGUAGGGCGAUUGCAUCAGCGUAUGAGAGUUACAAACGUCCCGGUCUCCUUGUUCAGAUACAAGACACUGGCAUUCUUCAUGUACACGAUUAAGAGGAAGAACAAGUUGGAUUAUAC